GAGAAGGGUUAANAAACAAGGAAACUG
rnacentral:tRNA from 1 species